CCUUGUGUAGUUCCCUCCCAAAGGAUAUAAGUAACAAACUAGGACUUCCUGAACCAGUUGUGAAACUUAACCCUGUGCAGGUCUGGACUGGGAAUCAAAAUGAGCCCUGGAAUUUCAGGCAAUUCCCACCCUUUUGAUUGACAUGAUGGAUGCAGUUGGGCAUUAUCUGGUGAUGUAUUUGUCUCUUUUCCACUCUGUGAAAGUGCUGCAAGCUUGCUAGGGUCAGUUACUACAGUAGAAUAAAAGAAAGUGUAGAAAACUUGUAAAAAACUUGUUUUUUAAUGUUGACAAAUAAAGCGACAAGUUUUUAAAGUUGUCUGGUGUUGCGGUACUCCACUUUCUUCUAUUCUAUGGCAUGUUGAGUGGGAUGCCCAGGGAGCCUGUAUCCGGUGAAUGCACUCUCGGACCUUGCAAGCUUUUUUUAAACAGAUUAGCGGUGAGUCAGAACAGUGGCUCUGUUUAUUAUUAGUUACUACAGUAACCAGAUAGCAACCAAAAGCAUACAAAAGACCCAUAUAACAGAAGAAAGAAUGUAACCCUAAUAAAAGACUGGUAUUAAUCACACCACCCUUCUCACUGUGCAAAGAGAGCAAACUCAUAAAAAUAACUUUUGGUGAGAUAGUGUUUUUCAUAUUUAUUAAACGUCUCAAAUGGAUUAAUCUCAACUUCAACAAAUGUAUUGAAUGUUGCAAAUAUGACUUCUAUGGCAUCUGGUUUUAGGUGGAAGCUGUUACUUUUUUUUAUUUAUUUCAAGAUUCUGAUUUAAUAAGUCAAACAGUGGCACUGGAUACCAUAUUUCUGUAGCCUGUCCCCUCAGGUGAAUAGACUAAAAGAGACAGUGCCAACAUGACCAUUUUGUGAUCAGUUACUAUUGAUACUGUAAUUGUAAUGGAAGUGUGCCCUCAGCAUCGUACUGGUGGGGGUCUGGGCCCACUAAGGCCACCGCAUCAGGAGCCCUCUAAUUGGCCAUAAACGUCAACCAUACUACCUAUCUGGGGGUUUAUUUGGACAGCUCAUCCUUGAAAACUCCCAGAUUGUGGGGUACAGUCUUUCCCAAACAUUCACUUCCUGGAACUCUGCCUGCUAGGAUUAACAGGUGCCCUUCAACUUUAUCCACAUUCAAGGAUGUGCUACUUACAGUUACUAUACUAUGCCAAAAAAAAGCAGUUUAAUGCACUAGAAAUCCAUUCAACCUCCCUGCCCUACAAUUCUUGGUAAAUUACUCCUUCCAAAAUCAGAACCUGACCUACUGGCAAGUGGCUGCCCAGAGAAAUUCAAUGCCAUUUGGCGAUACCUUUAUUGGCGAGGCGGUAAAUAGAGACUGUUGGAAGCUUGGACCAACCAGGACGAUGCUGCAGAAAGGAAUAGAAACUGUAGGUGAUGUUGCACUUCCAGAAUGGACAGUAGUCAUAAUACAUUUUUUUUUAAUGAAAUGGUUGUUUACCCAUUUCAACUUUUUGCUCUCCUACUUACCCUGCCUUACUGCAUUAAAUUCUCUAGCCAAUAGCAUUAUCAAAUUGGGUUUAAUACCCUGUAAAGGGGAAGCACCAUAUCAGAUUGUGCUAGGUAAACUGCUAGAUGUCAGGAUGAUAUAAAAAGGGGCACCUUGUUCAUCAUGAGGUUGAUGAAUAGGACUUGUGUUGAAUAUACCUUUUAGCUGUUUUAUUUGUGUUGCAGGACUAAAACUCUUUGUACUUGACUUGGGUUGAACUUUGUGUGAAUCAUAGGUGUGUACUGACGACAUACAAUGGUUGUUAAACAUAUUACACAUAUUAUUACCCUUUUUUGUCUUUUCCCUUAAGCUUUGUGCUGAUAUGAUGUGCACUAGUGCACCUACAGUAACUGUCAUAGAAACCCAGCUUGCUAAAAUCCUCAUAUUAAAUAAAACAAAGACUAUUUACUGUAAUACUUUCAUAAUCUUACAGAGGAAUUCAAGAGCAGUUUGCCCUUCCCCAGUUUAUCGUGAGUCGCCUCCUGCUUGUAGAACUUGAUUAACCAGGAGGGAUGGGGAAUAAACAUGUUUUGACAACGGCAAAGUAGUUGUCCCACACGGCUUACCGUAGCAGCUGCACCCUUUGGAAUUCCGGGUAUGAAGCCGAGAGAGCCCAGGAAGUGGAGGAGGGAGGGCUAGAUCAGAAAAUUAGGCAGACCACACCUAGUGCUGCUCCAAAGUACUUUUUCCAUAGAGAUAAACUGCAGCGAGAGAUGAGCAACGUACAGGCAGGAGACUGAAAGGGGAAUGAGUAUUUAUAGAACUGAAUGAAUGAAAGUGGAGAAGCAAUCGGGAGACUGGAAGACGAUGAAUUUGUGGGUGCAGUGAGGCCUGGCACGGACCAGGGAAGAGCAGCUGUAGACAAAGGCUCUUUGGAAACGGACUCUGCCUGUCAGUCUCUGCAUCACAAAGACAAAUACGUUCCUGAGUAGGAAUAAGGUGAUCUUCAUAUGUGAUUAAAUGAAGGAGGCUGAAAAGAAGCCGUUCCAAGAACAAAGAGGACGUGGGGAGCUGCAGUGAAAAGAUUCCCAGGAAACAAAUAUCAGCAGCACAGAAACGAGGUGAAAGAUGUUCCUCCAUCGGUCUUUUCAGUGGCCGUCUACUCCAGCUUUCCUAUCAAAGCUUUUCAAUACUUCUCAGAGUACUCCACCUACCACUUACAACCCACAGGAAAAAUCCAAGCAUUGGCAUUUUCCAGCUAUACCGCUGCCCACUCUGUCUACUGUACGAUCUCUUCUUCCAAGCCUGAAGAAAGAAAGUGACAACGGAGCUUCAUUGUUUUCUAUCAGUGCUCAACAUUUACAGAUCUGCAUCAAUCUAGUCCAUCAUAUAUUUGACAUUUGCACUUUAGGAUGCCUCUGGCUCUUUUCCCCAGUGUUCCAAGUGACCCUAGAUAUUUUUGGUGUACGUGGAGCCAUAAAACUCUGGAUCCAUGGUCUUGCCAUUUUCUUAGCCACAACAUAUGGCAUGUAUUUUCUACUGUGGCUGGCUCAAGAGUAUCUUUUCCAACUUGCCUCUCUGUAUGGAAUCCUACAGACAUUGGUCUUAACUGUUAGUCUAAGGGCUGACAGAGAUCAGGAGAGAGCAAAAGAGGAAAUGGAAGCAGAACAGGUGGAAGAAUCUGUAGAAGAGAUACAGCAAGGAGAGGACAGAUGGGCUGGAGGAAGUGAAGAAGAAGGAGGAGAUUCUGAGGAUGUUUGGGAGAGUGAAGGAGAAGAAGAAGAAGAAGUGGGUACUGACUGAAUUCUUGCCUAUGUUGAAGGGUCCACAAAUUGUUCUCCCAGUUACAACAUUAUGGAAAACAGCACAUUUUACAUGCCGUUGUAGGGGAAAAAACUAUUUCCCUGUUUAAAAGAUUCUUAAUUUUAAAUAAGUGAUUUUUCUUGAAAAGUGUUCACAUAAAUAGGAACUUCAUUGUUCGAAAAGGCGUUAAGAGGUGGGUUCAUUCUUAAAUCAGCGAGUUGCUCCCUAGAGAAACAUAUGCAUUAUUAUAAAGUGGAUUUUCUUUUAAAGCAGUAUGCUUUUUGACAAAUGAGCACCUUAGAAGUGAAAAUGUAUUUAUGGCUUUAAACAUAUUUUUUUUGAUAUAUAUAUUUUUAUGACUGUAUGUGUGUUUUAUGAUGUAUACUGUUUUUGCUAAACACUGCAGAUCUAGAACCCCUCUAAAUGAGCAGAAUGUUUUAUAGUUUGAGAGAGAAAUUCUGGAGCAACCAGAGCAUGCUGGGAAUCAGGCCCGGACUGAGAAUUAAAAUAGACCCUUGCAUUUCAGCUACACAGAGGCCCAAUCAGCCCACACAGAGGCCCAAACAGCCCCCACCAGCCCACUAAAUACUGAAUUUAUAUGGGACCUUAUAGCAGCCCCUCUAGCAUUUGCCAGAACCCACAGAUUGCCAGUCCGGGCCUGCUGGGAAUCUCUAAUGAGAUGGGACCAGAAUUCAUUUUUCAUUGAGAAAAAAACUAGACUGGAGGGUCCAAGAUGCAGGGUCAAAGGGAAUAAGUUGUGAAGGCAACAACUCAAGCAAAUACGGUGGUCAUGCAGUGGAGCUGCUGUUCAACAGUGUAUCUGGCUUUGCAGUCCAGUCUAUGGCUGCACAGCAGUUACCUGUGCUUGUUGUUCUAAAUAAUGUAGGUACUGACAAGAAAUGUAUAUAUAUAGUAUGAUGUCUUGAAAAUGCCACUAGGUGUUUGCCUGCAUCAUUUGUUAAAUGGUUCAUAGAAAGCAUUAGAGGUACAGAUAAAGAUCAUAAGGGAAACGUACAACAGCCUUGCCAAGUUGAACAGUCUGAAUGGACUGCGGGGCAAACAGUGUGGACAAUGAGCCCAUCAACAAAAACACUCAAGUCAUAGGUAUACUCAGGACAAAAGUGCACACAAGUAAAGUGUAUAUAUAUAUUGAACUAAUUAACCAUCUAACUGUACCUUGGAUUUUAAGGGCUGCUGAAGGAUAUAACAACAUGUAAUCUACAGUGGACUCCUGUUUAUUUUCUGUAGUCUUAUUAUGUAUUCAUCAUAUAUGCUAUCCAGGACACUUAUAAUUGACUGACACCAACUUAAUUCAUCUCAAGUGAAUGAUAAGAUAAUAUAACUUUAUCUCUGAUACAUGUGAUAUGUUUAGCAUAUAAAAGUGAAAAAAACACUGUGCAAAACAUUUGAGAAACUUCUAACUAAAAUCAUAAGCCCAAUUACCUAUUGUUUAUCUAUCCUUCAACAGCAUUAGGUAUUGGGUAUUGCAUGAUGGUUAUUUAAUUCAUUCAUUCAUUCAUUGUAUAUUAGAUUUGCAUGGUUUUGUCCUUUGUAACUGGAACAAUUGAGAAUGUACCCUUGGUGUGGCUUGUCCUUGGAGAUGGGGUUCCCGGAGUCAAAGGGGUGAUUCACUUUUAAGUAAACUUUGAGUAUGUUAUAUAAUGUCCUAUUCCUAGCAACUUUGCAAUUGUUUUAACUGUUUUUAUUUAUAGUUUGAGUAAUUUGCCUUCUACCUCUUUGUAGCUUUCAAAUGGGGGUCAAUGACCCCGGCAGGCAAAACAACUAUUGCUUUAUCAGUCCCUCUCCUCUCCUGAUUCCAAUCAUUUAUUCAAACCACUGCCUAGUUGCUACGGACAAUAAGCCCAUGACAAUAAUAUCCACAGAGGCGUAACAAGCUGUAAAUUAAAAGUUAAAUUUAAUUAAAAUAUCCAUCCCUUUUAUAAACUCAUUUAAAAAUCUCGGCUGUCAAUCACAUGUUGCUUGCCCCUCCUCUAUGCCUUAGGCAAUAAUAUUUUCACUUUCGCUUCUGCACUUCCUAGAUAUCAUUGCACUCCUCACAUUAAUUUAUAUAGUGUAAGUGAAGUUUAUUUUGCUUGACUAACAUCCUAAAAUACAAUAUGGAAUUGUUUCUUAGGAUGGCAGGUCCCCAUUAAAAUACCAAAUUGGAGGGCUGCUGGACAAAAAGCCAUAAAAAUUAUGACCAAUUGCAAACUGUCUCAGAAUAUCACUGUCUACAUCUUACUAAAAGUUAAUUUAAAAGUUAACUACCCCCCUUUAAUGAUCAUGCAAAUGAAUAUGGGAAUAUGUCAGUCUUUUGUGACAACUUCCGCCUCUUCAUGAUGUUUUUGGUUUAGUCACUCAGCAACAGGCGAUUCAGUAAGAGUAUAAGAAAGCAAGCAGGGUGCUGGGAUUGACAACAGCUUUGGGAACUAUAAGCAUUGAUGUUUUGGUGUUAGACAAAUUACCAUGAGGUUAAUAACAAACUCUACAAACAUAAACAGCUCUGAUACUGAUAAAUGGCAGCGCCUACAGAGAAAUCUGUAUAUGUAGAGUGGAAGUAGAGUGCCAGAUAUAGGCCUAGUCAACCACACAACCUUAGGUUUGCAAAUUUUCUAUUUAGUGACGUUAAAUCUUCCAUUGUUAUAGUGACGGAGUGAGGAUGAUCAAACCAAAUUAAUUGUGACUUCACUAAAGGUAUCAUUCAAUGUAAACCAAAGAUUAGAAGAGAAGUAUAUAUAUAUCACUGAAUCUUUCUUUUUUUUUAAACCAAAUGCCGUAUGUGCACAGGAAUGUUUCUUUGUGACCAGUGCUGAAAUCUAGAAUUUUAAUUGUCGUUUUAAUAUGUAAUAGGACUUUUGACCUUACCUUUUCUAGAAAGGAAGUCCACUGUAAAAUGCUUUCCGAUCGUUCAUCGCAAUGUACACAAGCUAUACUGAAAGCUGGACUUUUUUGAGUGUGUAUGUUUGUAUUUAUAUAUCCCUACUUGGAGAUUAAAAUAAUACGUUAAUAGAAAAGACUGGGAACAAUACAAUAAAUGAAUAAAAACAAAAACACAAUGACAUUCAUGAUUAAGUACUAAGUGAGAAAAGGAUGUGUAGCUGUAUAUAAGCUGAAUUUAUGUUUUGUGCUGAUAAUUAUACACAAUGCUGAACACAGUGUUUGUUUGGUACAAAGAGUCACCUGCUGCCGUGUAUUUUUUUGGAGCUGGCUGUGCAGGUGAACCCAGGCCUCCCUGCUUCAGAAAUAGCAUCUUAACUUGCUGAGCCACUUGCAUGAAACACUGGAACAAACUGCCACUACCUUUUAGAUUAUUACUGUGAAUGUUUAGGAUAUACAGCCAUUGAUUGAAAUUCAUACAACAUGGACUGGUAAAUAAAUGAAGCCACUGUGACAUCAUUUUCCCAGACCCCUACUUUGAGGAAUAUCAGCAGUCAGAUUCUUUCAACAUACAUUUCUCAUUCGCCAUAAAUGAAAGGAUAUCUGUAAUGAAGAAUUCAUGAAUAAAGGGGAAAUGGACAUAAAUGGACACUACAAAGCACAAAACUGUGAGCACAAAGUCUUCUCCUUAUUCCGCAAUUAUUUUACAGAAUUGUGUCAUGUCUAGGCACAAGGACCACGUAACUUUGGGCUACUGCUGAAAAUGAUAUCAAUAUAUAAACUUGACUAUGUUCUUUUAAACCAGCUAUGGUAUCGACAUUAAGCAGUUAACAUGUUUUAAAAGCCUAUUUUGCAUUUAUACAUUUUUACCUUCUUUGUUGAAGCAGGAUAUGUAUGUACAUAAGAACAUACCAUGUAGAACUUUAAGAAUACCAGGGGACCUUCGGUGGAACCUGUAUAAGAACACCAAGCAGAACUUAAAAAAAAAACAUGCAUUAAACCAGCAUUAUGAUUUUUUUUAUAAAUGCCCCAGUAAAAUAGCCAGUAAAGAAAGACAUUAGUAUUAUCUGAAAGAUCGCCAACCCUCCAUCUUGCCCCUUCCAAAAACCACAACAUAAACUCACAUUUAACUGCAGUGGGAGAAAUUCUUUCAGUGUGAAGUUGCUGCUGGGAAGUCAAACAACCUUUGCAGUAGUGUCUAAAAGCGUCAUUGUUUAACCUUUUUCUCCUGAACCAGCAUUUUCUUCCCAGUCAUGACUAGUUUCUUGCCUUGAGGCUUUGAAUGACUCCCUACCCAUAAAGUGCACUAUGUUAAAGGAGACCUAAAGGCAAAUCCACCUUUAACCAACUUGUUUGGAACCCCCAGUAAUUCAAGUCACUUACUUUCUGCCCUUGGCAACUGCCACAUUCUUCCACUUUCCCAUGUAUUUCUUGUGCUUGAGAACAGUGUAAUAGAUGGGGCUGCAUACUCCAGGCUGGUACAUUUUUUAAUUUAAUAGUAAAAGUGCCAGACUGCAGGUUAGUAAUCAUGAGAAAAGUAAAAUAAAUGUGGUAUACAAAUUUAAAAAGAUCAUGUUUUGACCAUUUCCCAGAGCUCACUCAGUUAUUUCAUAUAACAUGUCCACUUUAAGGAAAGGAAGAGUAAUCACCAGCUCAUGCAUUCUGGCUCUGAGUAGAAACGACACAAUGGCAAAAUGAGUCAGUGGGAACCUGUAUUCGGGAUAGGAGUUGAGAGGCGCAAUAAAAGUUGCACUAAUAGAUUUUGUACACAAAGAAUAUAGUCAGUCAGUUGAGAAUGCACUUCAGUGUAGAAUAUCUCUUUUUCUUAUAUCACUAUCCAUAUAACAAGUUGUGGAUGUACUUUUUGAUACUGUAUGUUUAUGAUAUAAAGUAAAUUUGAGUUUUGAA